UUGAACGCUGGCGGCAUGCUUUACACCUGCAAGUCGAACGGUAACAGGCCGCAAGGUGCUGACGAGUGGCGAACGGGUGAGUAAUGCAUCGGAACGUGCCCAGUCGUGGGGGAUAACUACUCGAAAGAGUAGCUAAUACCGCAUACGAUCUAUGGAUGAAAGCGGGGGACCGUAAGGCCUCGCGCGAUUGGAGCGGCCGAUGUCAGAUUAGGUAGUUGGUGGGGUAAAGGCUCACCAAGCCAACGAUCUGUAGCUGGUCUGAGAGGACGACCAGCCACACUGGGACUGAGACACGGCCCAGACUCCUACGGGAGGCAGCAGUGGGGAAUUUUGGACAAUGGGCGCAAGCCUGAUCCAGCAAUGCCGCGUGCAGGAAGAAGGCCUUCGGGUUGUAAACUGCUUUUGUACGGAACGAAACGGCUCUGGUUAAUACCCGGGGCUAAUGACGGUACCGUAAGAAUAAGCACCGGCUAACUACGUGC
rnacentral:rRNA from 1 species